rnacentral:rRNA from 1 species
CGUGUAGGCGGCCAGAUUAGUUGGAUGUGAAAUGUUACGGCUUAACCGUAGACUGCCAUUCAAAACUGUCUGGCUUGAGUUCAGUAGGGGGUGGUGGAAUUCCUGGUGUAGCGGUGAAAUGCGUAGAUAUCAGGAAGAACACCGGAGGCGAAGGCGGCCACCUGGGCUGACACUGACGCUGAGGCGCGAAAGCGUGGGGAGCGAACA